UACGUAGGGUGCAAGCGUUAAUCGGAAUUACUGGGCGUAAAGCGUGCGCAGGCGGCCAUGCAAGACAGAUGUGAAAUCCCCGGGCUUAACCUGGGAACUGCAUUUGUGACUGCAUGGCUAGAGUACGGCAGAGGGGGAUGGAAUUCCGCGUGUAGCAGUGAAAUGCGUAGAUAUGCGGAGGAACACCGAUGGCGAAGGCAAUCCCCCUGGGCCUGUACUGACGCUCAUGCACGAAAGCGUGGGGAGCAAACAGG
rnacentral:rRNA from 1 species